rnacentral:rRNA from 1 species
UACAGAGGGUGCGAGCGUUAAUCGGAAUUACUGGGCGUAAAGCGUGCGCAGGCGGCUUUGCAAGACAGAUGUGAAAUCCCCGGGCUCAACCUGGGAACUGCAUUUGUGACUGCAAGGCUAGAGUACGGCAGAGUGGGAUGGAAUUCCGCGUGUAGCAGUGAAAUGCGUAGAUAUGCGGAGGAACACCAAUGGCGAAGGCAAUCCCCUGGGCCUGUACUGACGCUCAUGCACGAAAGCAUGGGGAGCGAACAGG